GUGAUUGCAAGCACGUAGUCGUGGUCGUAGUUAUAGUUGUAGUCAUAGACUAAAAGUAGUGUAGUGGACUGCGAAAUGAACACUGAAAUGCAAUCGUUGCAAUUGUAUCUGACUUUGUUUCUUCAGAGAUGAGAAGAUGAAGACAUUAAUUGUUUCUGAACGACCUAAGAAUCACUCAAUCCUUGCUAACGUCGAGGCCAACCAAGAGGCACACGAGACAUGGGUUAGCAACAUUUCGUAGUAUUAUCGAUAAUUGAAUAAUAAAAGCCAGUCUUGAAUACAACGGAACAUAAUUAAUAUAAUAUUUAUUUUAAUUUUACAUGAUAGAAUUACAAUUAAUAAACUUAUUAUUUGUAUUGUAAUUCCAUCUCGUAAAUUUUAAAUGAUAAUUAUAUUACCUAUGUAAUACGAAUUUUACGAAGAACUUUGCUGCACUUUGCCUUUCUGCACCAAACAACAGACUAUCCUCGGAAGUGAGCAUAGAUGACUGUACUCAUGAAGAACCUCUGGGGGUGGUCGCCGCGCCUAAUCAUAAUUAUAAAUUUGAAUUAGCUACAAAAAUUGGUUUUUGCAUCUGAGCCCAACAUCGUAGGAGAACCAUUCAUUCAUCAGAUUGGAUUUUGCACAUGAACCUGACAUCGCAGGAGAACCAUUCUUUCAUUAG